rnacentral:rRNA from 1 species
UUGGAGGGCAAGUCUGGUGCCAGCAGCCGCGGUAAUUCCAGCUCCAAUAGCGUAUAUUAAAGUUGUUGCAGUUAAAAAGCUCGUAGUUGAAUUUCGGGGUCAGUAGAUUGGUCGUGCCACUGGUAUGUACUGGUCUUACUGGCUCCUCCUUCCUGAUGAACCGUAAUGCCAUUAAUUUGGUGUUGCGGGGAGACUGGACUGUUACUUUGAAAAAAUUAGAGUGUUUAAAGCAGGCUAACGCUUGAAUACAUUAGCAUGGAAUAAUGAAAUAGGACGUUCGAUCUUAUUUUGUUGGUUUCUAGGAUUGACGUAAUGAUUAAUAGGGAUAGUUGGGGGCAUUAGUAUUCAAUUGUCAGAGGUGAAAUUCUUGGAUUUAUUGAAGACUAACUACUGCGAAAGCAUUUGCCAAGGAUGUUUUCAUUAAUCAAGAACGAAAGUUAGGGGAUCGAAGACGAUCAGAUACCGUCGUAGUCUUAACCAUAAACUAUGCCGACUAGGGAUCGGAUGAUGUUAAUUUUUUAAUGACUCAUUUCGGCGCCUUACGGGAAAC